UCGGCUGCCUUUUGGCUAUCUUCGACAAAUUGAAGCUAAUACAUGCAUACAUGUCCUUUUCGAAGGGCGCAAUAUUACAACUACUGGCUUGCCGGCGGUUGAUUUCAAUUAUCGUUUCGAUAUCGGAAGGCGACUUCCGAUGGCCGUAAACUGUGUACGCCCUAUCACCCAGCAGGUUAAUCAUUCGCUAACCAGGGGUAUUACGGGUAACGGAGAACUAUGGUUCGUCUCCGGAGAAGAAGCCUUUGAAAGGCUACUACAUCCAAGGAAGGAAGCAGGCGCGUAACUUAUCCACUACCACAGUGAGAUAGUAACUAGUCUUAACUAUUGACUGAUCUUUUAGGUUAGUCAUGGUCCAUGAGUUGAGCCUAAAUAGCUCUUCGAGGACCAAGUGGAGGGCAAGUCUGGUGCCAGCAGCCGCGGUAAUUCCAGCU
rnacentral:rRNA from 1 species